rnacentral:rRNA from 1 species
AGUGAACGCUGGCGGUAGGCCUAACAUAUGCAAGUCGAACGGCAGCACAGUAAGAGCUUGCUCUUACGGGUGGCGAGUGGCGGACGGGUGGGGAAUACAUCGGAAUCUACUUUUUCGUGGGGGACAACGUAGGGAAACUUACGCUAAUACCGCAUACGACCUACGGGUGAAAGCAGGGGAUCUUCGGACCUUGCGCGAUUGAAUGAGCCGAUGUCGGAUUAGCUAGUUGGCGGGGUAAAGGCCCACCAAGGCGACGAUCCGUAGCUGGUCUGAGAGGAUGAUCAGCCACACUGGAACUGAGACACGGUCCAGACUCCUACGGGAGGCAGCAGUGGGGAAUAUUGGACAAUGGGCGCAAGCCUGAUCCAGCCAUACCGCGUGGGUGAAGAAGGCCUUCGGGUUGUAAAGCCCUUUUGUUGGGAAAGAAAAGCAGCAGGUUAAUACCCCGCUGUUCUGACGGUACCCAAAGAAUAAGCACCGGCUAACUUCGUG